GCCUCCUGGAAAUGAGAUAAACACCAUGAGGGUUAGAGGUCAAAACACCAAGAGGGUUAGAGGUCAAAACACCAAGAGGGUUAGAGGUCAAAACACCAUGAGGGUUAGAGGUCAAAACACCAUGAGGGUUAGAGGUAAAAACACCAUGAGGGUUAGAGGUCAAAACACCAUGAUGAGGGUUAGAGGUCAAACAACAUGAUGAGGGUUAGAGGUCAAACACCAUGAUGAGGGUUAGAGUUCAAACACCAUGAUGAGGGUUAGAGUUCAAACACCAUGAGGGUUAGAGAUCAAACACCAUGAGGGUUAGAGGUCAAACACCAUGAGGGUUAGAGGUCAAACACCAUGAGGGUUAGAGGUCAAACACCAUGAGGGUUAGAGGUCAAAACACCAUGGGGGUUAGAGGUCAAACACCAUGAUGAGGGUUAGAGGUCAAACAACAUGAUGAGGGUUAGAGGUCAAACACCAUGAUGAGGGUUAGAGGUCAAACACCAUGAUGAGGGUUAGAGUUCAAACACCAUGAGGGUUAGAGAUCAAACACCAUGAGGGUUAGAGGUCAAACACCAUGAGGGUUAGAGGUCAAACACCAUGAGGGUUAGAGGUCAAAACACCAUGGGGGUUAGAGGUCAAACACCAUGAUGAGGGUUAGAGGUCAAACAACAUGAUGAGGGUUAGAGGUCAAACACCAUGAUGAGGGUUAGAGGUCAAACGACAUGAUGAGGGUUAGAGGUCAAACAACAUGAUGAGGGUUAGAGGUCAAACACCAUGAGGGUUAGAGGUCAAACACCAUGAGGGUUAGAGGUCAAACACCAUGAGGGUUAGAGGUCAAAACACCAUGGGGGUUAGAGGUCAAACACCAUGAUGAGGGUUAGAGGUCAAACAACAUGAUGAGGGUUAGAGGUCAAACACCAUGAUGAGGGUUAGAGGUCAAACACCAUGAUGAGGGUUAGAGUUCAAACACCAUGAGGGUUAGAGAUCAAACACCAUGAGGGUUAGAGGUCAAACACCAUGAGGGUUAGAGGUCAAACACCAUGAGGGUUAGAGGUCAAAACACCAUGAGGGUUAGAGGUCAAAACACCAUGAGGGUUAGAGGUCAAAACACCAUGGGGGUUAGAGGUCAAACACCAUGAUGAGGGUUAGAGGUCAAACGACAUGAUGAGGGUUAGAGGUCAAACAACAUGAUGAGGGUUAGAGGUCAAACACCAUGAGGGUUAGAGGUCAAACACCAUGAGGGUUAGAGGUCAAACAAUGGGGAUAGCUCAUAACCUCAUCAUAGGAAAGAGACUGUGAAUCAAUCAAUCCCAAUAACUCAGUUGGUGGGUGAACGUGUGUCCCCGACUAAGCACGGGUGGUGGGGUUCAGGACCACAGGGGGUUGAGUCAUUCAUGACACUCAGUGCGCAAGCAAACCACAGACGAGAGGGCUUUCUGAGCAAGUGUGUGUAAAACCAAACCAACAAGCCAAACAGAAACAGAUUGCAUUUAAACCCACAGGAUGUUCUGAACAGCUAACCUUACAACAGCUUUAGAACUACAUACAUACUGCAGUACUACAACAGCUUUAGAACUACAUACAUACUGCAGUACUACAACAGCUUUAGAACUACAUACAUACUGCAGUACUACAACAGCUUUAGAACUACAUACUGCAGUACUACAACAGCUUUAGAACUACAUACAUACUGCAGUACUACAACAGCUUUAGAACUACAUACAUACUGCAGUACUACAACAGCUUUAGAACUACAUACAUACUGCAGUACUACAACAGCUUUAGAACUACAUACAUACUGCAGUACUACAACAGCUUUAGAACUACAUACAUACUGCAGUACUACAACAGCUUUAGAAAUACAUACAUACUGCAGUACUACAACAGCUUUAGAACUACAUACAUACUGCAGUACUACAACAACUUUAGAACUACAUACAUACUGCAGUACUACAACAGCUUUAGAACUACAUACAUUACUGCAGUACUACAACAGCUUUAGAACUACAUACAUACUGCAGUACUACAACAGCUUUAGGAAUACAUACAUGCGACAGUACUACAACAGCUUUAGAACUACAUACAUGCUGCAGUACUACAACAGCUUUAGAACUACAUACAUACUGCAGUACUACAACAGCUUUAGAACUACAUACAUACUGCAGUACUACAACAGCUUUAGGAAUACAUACAUGCUGCAGUACUAUAACAGCUUUAGAACUACAUACAUACUGCAGUACUACAACGGCUUUAGAACUACAUACAUACUGCAGUACUACAACGGCUUUAGAACUACAUACAUACUGCAGUACUACAACAGCUUUAGAACUACAUACAUACUGCAGGACUACAACAGCUUUAGAACUACAUACAUACUGCAGUACUACAACAGCUUUAGAACUACAACAGCUUUAGGACUACGUACAUACUGCAGGACUAUAACAGCUUUAGAACUACAUACAUACUGCAGGACUACAACAGCUUUAGAACUACAUACAUACUGCAGGACUAUAACAGCUUUAGAACUACAUACAUACUGCAGGACUAUAACAGCUUUAGAACUACAUACAUACUGAAGGACUAUAACAGCUUUAGAACUACAUACAUGCUGCAGGACUAUAACAGCUUUAUCUAACAGGAAUCAUAACCAGUAGUAUCCACCAGGAAUAAGGAAUCAUAACCAGUAGUAUCUACUAGAGGUCGACCGAUUAAUCGGAAUGGCUGAUAAAUUAGGGCCGGUUUCAAGUUUUCAUAACAAUUGGGAAUCGGUAUUUUUGGACACCGAUUUAGCCAUUUUCUUUAUUUAAUCUUUAUUUAACCAGGCAAGUCAGUUAAGAACACAUUCGUAUUUUCAAUGA